AUGGAUCCAAUAACAAUAACUCAUCAACAGCGUUUCCGCUUCGACUCUCUCUGGUUUGCAAACUCCGUCUCAAUUUUCGACCGUCGUCUCCUACUCAUCGUUUCUCCUCACCAUCGUUCACGACUCUCCGUGCCACAAUCACCGUCUCCGUUUGCUUUGAUCUCGUGUAUUUUCCAUAACAUUGAAGAAAGUGCUCAAAGUGACGAGAGAUGGAAGGAAUCAACUUACUGA